rnacentral:tRNA from 1 species
GGCCGCGUAUUCAGCGGCUUUCCAUAGCGGUCUUGAAAACCGUCGACUGUAACAGGUCCAUGAGUUCGAAUCCCAUCGCCUCCGCCA